rnacentral:rRNA from 1 species
GUAGGGAAUCUUCCACAAUGGACGAAAGUCUGAUGGAGCAACGCCGCGUGAGUGAAGAAGGUCUUCGGAUCGUAAAACUCUGUUGUUAGAGAAGAACGUGCAUGAUAGUAACUGAUCAUGUAAUGACGGUAUCUAACCAGAAAGCCACGGCUAACUACGUGCCAGCAGCCGCGGUAAUACGUAGGUGGCAAGCGUUGUCCGGAAUUAUUGGGCGUAAAGAGCAUGUAGGCGGGAAUCUAAGUCUGUUGUUAAAAUGCGGGGCUCAACCCCGUAUUGCGAUGGAAACUGGGUUUCUUGAGUGCAGGAGAGGAAAGGGGAAUUCCCAGUGUAGCGGUGAAAUGCGUAGAUAUUAGGAGGAACACCAGUGGCGAAGGCGGCUUACUGGACUGUAACUGACGUUGAGGCUCGAAAGCGUGGGGAGCAAACAGGAUUAGAUACCCCUGUAGUCC